AUGAAGACACGCUCCUCUCUUAUUAGAACUGGAAAGGAUUUAAGAAAUCAAGACUGCAGUCAGAAGGUCACACAAGGAGCUGAACAAAAUGUUGAAAUUGUCCCACCAAUGACCUCAGCUCUUGGGAACCAAGGAGCUCUUUCAGCCAGGUUUGGCAAUGAGGGUCUGGAUCUAUCCAAAGGUGGACAAUCAGCUGUGAAGUCAGAACGCCCCAUGCUUCGGUCCUCCGUCGAUCUUCCCUGCGCCACUAGAAAGAAAAACCCAGCACGUCUGCCUCCCACCUACACAGCUUCAUCACAGACAACACAGAGGGACUGUCCUGCUCCCCAGACUGGCUGACUUCAAGUACAGACUGGGAAGCCCCGCAGGAGGAGAAGGCAAUUCGUAUUUCAUUUUCAAAAUGGAGAGAAAAGAUGACAUGAGACGGGAAAUUAUGCAAGAAAACAUGGAUGGUAGAGAAGACUGUUUUUCAAUCUGUGGUUGCAAUUAGAAUUUUUUUUAGAAUUGUUUUAAAUUAAUUAGAAUAAAAAUAUCAGAGUAUAUUACA
rnacentral:lncRNA from 1 species